rnacentral:rRNA from 1 species
CUGGACUUCACAAAGCACUUCCCCGCCACCCCUACAGAGUUCAAGUUGAAGACAAACACCGACUGCGCAUGGAGGGUGACAGUGAGGGUGAUCAACGGCAGGGUCACCCUUGAUCAGGGUUGGGCCACCUUCACCGCCGUUCACCAGAUCAUGAUCGGGUACAUGCUGACGUUCAAGCUGUUGUCCCCCGACACCAUGAAGGUGAUCGUCUUCAACGACGAGGGCGUGGAGGUGGUGACCAAGUGCAAGGAGCACGACAAUGCCUUCGCCACGACCGCCUGA